AAACUUAAGAGUUUGAUUCUGGCUCAGGAUGAACGCUGGCGGCGUGCUUAACACAUGCAAGUCGAAUGUAGUUUACUACAUGGCGGACGGGUGAGUAACGCGUGAGCAACCUGCCCAUAUCUGGGGGAUAACAGUUGGAAACGACUGAUAAUACCGCAUAACAUCGUUUGAAGGCAUCUUCUUACGAUCAAAGAUUUAUCGGAUAUGGAUGGGCUCGCGUCUGAUUAGCUUGUUGGUGAGGUAACGGCUCACCAAGGCGACGAUCAGUAGCCGACCUGAGAGGGUGAUCGGCCACAUUGGAACUGAGACACGGUCCAAACUCCUACGGGAGGCAGCAGUGGGGAAUAUUGGGCAAUGGAGGAAACUCUGACCCAGCAACGCCGCGUGAAUGAUGAAGGUCUUCGGAUUGUAAAGUUCUUUUCUAAGGGAAGAAGAAAGUGACGGUACCUUAGGAAUAAGCCUCGGCUAACUACGUGCCAGCAGCCGCGGUAAUACGUAGGAGGCAAGCGUUAUCCGGAAUGACUGGGCGUAAAGGGUGCGUAGGUGGUUUGACAAGUUGGUAGCGUAACUCCGGGGCUCAACCUCGGCACUACUACCAAAACUGUUGGACUUGAGUGCAGGAGGGGCAAAUGGAAUUCCUAGUGUAGCGGUGGAAUGCGUAGAUAUUAGGAGGAACACCAGUGGCGAAGGCGAUUUGCUGGACUGUAACUGACACUGAGGCACGAAAGCGUGGGGAGCAAACAGGAUUAGAUACCCUGGUAGUCCACGCUGUAAACGAUGAAUACUAGGUGUAGGGGGUAUCGACUCCCUCUGUGCCGCCGCUAACGCAUUAAGUAUUCCGCCUGGG
rnacentral:rRNA from 1 species